CUCUCUCUCUCUCCGGAUGCAGCGCUGCCCUCAUCGACUCGAUCUCCUCCCUCGAACUCCAUCGGAAUGAGAAUACAUGUUGGGGAAUAUUUUGCAGACAAAAUGCAAGGACUUGGGAUAUACACCUUCAGGAAUGGGGAGACACAGUCCGGAUUGAUUAAAAAUCUAACUAAAUACUUUUGUAGCUUGUUGAUGACUAUGGGAUUGAUCAUAUUAAUUUUUUGUAACAACUAGUAUAGUACUUGGAUGUUUCUUAAUUAAUAGUUGGGAUUGUUUGAUGC